rnacentral:rRNA from 1 species
GACGAACGCUGGCGGCACGCUUAACACAUGCAAGUCGAACGAGAGCCUCCGAGCUUGCUCGGAGGGGACAGUGGCGAACGGGUGAGUAACACGUGAGGAACCUGCCGCGAAGACCGGGAUACCACCGGGAAACCGGUGCUAAUACGGGAUGCCCUCACCGGACCGCAUGAUCCGGUGAGGAAAUGGAUUCCGCUGCGGGAUGGCCUCGCGGCCUAUCAGCUUGUUGGUGGGGUAACGGCCCACCAAGGCAGCGACGGGUAGCUGGUCUGAGAGGAUGUCCAGCCACACUGGGAGUGAGACCCGGCCCAGACUCCGACGGGAGGCAGCAGUGGAGAAUCUUGCGCAAUGAGCGAAAGCCUGACGCAGCGAUGCCGCGUGCGGUAUGACGGCCUUCGGGUUGUAAACCUCUUUCAGCUCUGACGAAGCGAAAGUGACGGUAGGAGCAGAAGAAGCACCGACCAACUACUUGCCAGCCGCCGCCGUAACAC